CCUACGGGAGGCAGCAGUGAGGAAUAUUGGUCAAUGGACGCAAGUCUGAACCAGCCAUGCCGCGUGCAGGAAGACGGCUCUAUGAGUUGUAAACUGCUUUUGUACGAGGGUAAACGCAGAUACGCGUAUCUGUCUGAAAGUAUCGUACGAAUAAGGAUCGGCUAACUCCGUGCCAGCCGCCGCGGUAAUACGGAGGAUUCAAGCGUUAUCCGGAUUUAUUGGGUUGAAAGGGAGCGUAGGCGGUCGGAUAAGUUAGAGGUGAAAUCCCGGGGCUCAACUUCGGAAUUGCCUCUGAUACUGUUCGGAUAGAGAGUAGUUGCGGUAGGCGGAAUGUAUGGUGUAGCGGUGAAAUGCUUAGAGAUCAUACAGAACACCGAUUGCGAAGGCAGCUUACCAAGCUACUUCUGACGUUGAGGCACGAAAGCGUGGGGAGCAAACAGGAAUAGAUACCCGAGUAGUC
rnacentral:rRNA from 1 species